rnacentral:rRNA from 1 species
AGUGAACGCUGGCGGUAGGCCUAACACAUGCAAGUCGAACGGCAGCACAGUAAGAGCUUGCUCUUACGGGUGGCGAGUGGCGGACGGGUGAGGAAUACAUCGGAAUCUACUUUUUCGUGGGGGAUAACGUAGGGAAACUUACGCUAAUACCGCAUACGACCUACGGGUGAAAGCAGGGGAUCUUCGGACCUUGCGCGAUUGAAUGAGCCGCUGUCGGAUUAGCUAGUUGGCGGGGUAAAGGCCCACCAAGGCGACGAUCCGUAGCUGGUCUGAGAGGAUGGUCAGCCACACUGGAACUGGGACACGGUCCAGACUCCUACGGGAGGCAGCAGUGGGGAAUAUUGGACAAUGGGGGCGAGCCUGAUCCAGCCAUACCGCGUGGGUGAAGAAGGCCUUCGGGUUGUAAAGCCCUUUUGUUGGGAAAGAAAAGCAGCAGGUUAAUACCCCGCUGUUCUGACGGUACCCAAAGAAUAAGCACCGGCUAACUUCGUG